GACAGAGGGGGCAAGCGUUGCUCGGAAUCACUGGGCGUAAAGGGCGCGUAGGCGGGAUGGCAAGUCAGUCGUGAAAUUCCCGGGCUCAACCUGGGGGCUGCGCUUGAUACUGAUGAGCUUGAAUGCGGGAGAGGAUAGUGGAAUUCCCAGUGUAGAGGUGAAAUUCGUAGAUAUUGGGAAGAACACCGGUGGCGAAGGCGGCUAUCUGGCCCGUAAUUGACGCUGAGGCGCGAAAGCGUGGGGAGCAAACAGG
rnacentral:rRNA from 1 species